UACGUAGGGUGCGAGCGUUGUCCGGAAUUAUUGGGCGUAAAGAGCUUGUAGGCGGUCUGUCGCGUCUGCUGUGAAAACCCGAGGCUCAACCUCGGGCCUGCAGUGGGUACGGGCAGACUAGAGUGCGGUAGGGGAGAAUGGAAUUCCUGGUGUAGCGGUGGAAUGCGCAGAUAUCAGGAGGAACACCGAUGGCGAAGGCAGUUCUCUGGGCCGUAACUGACGCUGAGGAGCGAAAGCGUGGGGAGCGAACAGG
rnacentral:rRNA from 1 species